UGUGGAUUCAAGUCUUAAACAAAAGGAUCCACAAAGUGUUGUAUCAAAAACUCCUGUCCCAUCAAAGCAGUCCGCACUGGAACAAAAGCACAAGACUUCGUCUGGUAGUGUUGUUCAGAAGUUCAAUGAGAAAUGUAAACAAUUGAAAUCUGGGUCCAAAAAAGAGCCAAUGUCUAUCAAAAAGACACUCCCAGAGGACUACAGACCAGUGGUUAACACAACCCUGUUACUAGAUGACUUGUCACCUGACAGUUUUACACUGUUUAAAGCAGACAAUUUCUAUGGACCACAGAUUCUUGUCACUUCUGACUCUCACUGCUUUGUGGUGUCUGUGCCUUUCUUCUAACUGGACAAUAGAGACUUCUGAAUGUGGAGAUAGUGCACAUUUAGUGAAGGAACAUUCUCUUAGUGAACUACAACCACAGUCUUUCAUUAAAGCUUCUGUGAUAUUUAUUUUGAAAGUACUUUUGACUUUUGAAAAAUACUUUUUAGGCUGAUUUUAUAUUUGUGUAUUGUGUU